rnacentral:rRNA from 1 species
UACGUAGGUGACCAGCGUUGUCCGGAUUUACUGGGCGUAAAGAGCGCGCAGGCGGUCGUUCAAGUCGAGUGUGAAAGCCCCCGGCUCAACUGGGGAGGGUCAUUCGAUACUGAUCGACUCGAAGGCAGGAGAGGGAAGCGGAAUUCCCGGUAUAGUGGUGAAAUGCGUAGAUAUCGGGAGGAACACCAGUGGCGAAGGCGGCUUUCUGGUCUGUAACUGACGCUGAGGCGCGAAAGCGUGGGGAGCAAACAGG